AUUGAACGCUGGCGGCAGGCUUAACACAUGCAAGUCGGACGGUAACAGGGAGGAAGCUUGCUUUCUUUGCUGACGAGUGGCGGACGGGUGAGUAAUGCUUGGGAAUCUGUUUUAUGGAGGGGGAUAACUACGGGAAACUGUAGCUAAUACCGCGUAAUAUCGAGAGAUUAAAGUGUGGGACCGUAAGGCCACAUGCCAUAGAGUGAGCCCAAGUGGGAUUAGGUAGUUGGUGGGGUAAAGGCCUACCAAGCCGUCGAUCUCUAGCUGGUCUGAGAGGAUGACCAGCCACACUGGGACUGAGACACGGCCCAGACUCCUACGGGAGGCAGCAGUGGGGAAUAUUGCACAAUGGGCGCAAGCCUGAUGCAGCCAUGCCGCGUGAAUGAAGAAGGCCUUAGGGUUGUAAAGUUCUUUCAUUAGUGAGAAAGCGGUUAUAUCUAAUAGGUGUAACCAUUGAUGUUAGCUAAAGAAGAAGCACCGGCUAACUCCGUGCCAGCAGCCGCGGUAAUACGGAGGGUGCGAGCGUUAAUCGGAAUGACUGGGCGUAAAGGGCACGCAGGCGGUUAUUUAAGUCAGAUGUGAAAGCCCCGAGCUUAACUUGGGAAUUGCAUUUGAUACUGGGUAACUAGAGUCCUCUAGGGAGGGGUAGAAUUCCAUGUGUAGCGGUGAAAUGCGUAGAGAUGUGGAGGAAUACCGAAGGCGAAGGCAGCCCCUUGGAGAGAGACUGACGCUCAUGUGCGAAAGCGUGGGUAGCAAACAGG
rnacentral:rRNA from 1 species